CACAAGCGGUGGAGCAUGUGGUUUAAUUCGACGCAACGCGCAGAACCUUACCAGCCCUUGACAUGUUUGGGACCGGUCGCAGAGACGUGACCUUCUCUUCGGAGCCCGAAACACAGGUGCUGCAUGGCUGUCGUCAGCUCGUGUCGUGAGAUGUUGGGUUAAGUCCCGCAACGAGCGCAACCCCCGUCCUUAGUUGCUACCAUUUAGUUGAGCACUCUAAGGAGACUGCCGGUGAUAAGCCGCGAGGAAGGUGGGGAUGACGUCAAGUCCUCAUGGCCCUUACGGGCUGGGCUACACACGUGCUACAAUGGCGGUGACAGUGGGAAGCUAAGGGGUGACCCUUCGCAAAUCUCAAAAAGCCGUCUCAGUUCGGAUUGGGCUCUGCAACUCGAGCCCAUGAAGUUGGAAUCGCUAGUAAUCGUGGAUCAGCACGCCACGGUGAAUACGUUCCCGGGCCUU
rnacentral:rRNA from 1 species